rnacentral:sRNA from 1 species
AAGUCAUCAUCAGUUAGAAUAACUUUAUUCAGAAUCUAGAACUAAGUUGUGUGGAUCACAAACUAUCACUUUUCUCUCUCUCUCUGUCUUUCUGACAUCUGUCUGUUUUCUUCUUACUUUAUAUAUUUACUCACUAGAAAACUCACCUUUUUUAUUUUAUUAUGUACAUGUAUUCACAUUGUGUUGGGUCGAUCACAGUAGAUUUAAUGUAUCCAUAUAUAAGUUCAUCCCACUACAUUACUUCAUGUGUAAUACAAGGUACUAUUACUUUAUUGUGUUGUGUUCAAUCAACUUAAUUUUAUUUGUACUCCUGAUAUUUGCUGACUUGGUACUUGGCUUCAGUCACCAUUUACCUUUUUUUAUGAACUUCAUUUGUUUUUGCUGUGUAUUACUUGUGUGUAUAAAAGCAUUUUGUGAUCAUGUAGAUAACGACUUUUACUCGCAUUUGAUAAGAUAUAAUGACAUACAGUAAUUCAUUUUUGUGUAGUCUAAAUGCUACGUCACCAGUAACAAUUUUGGAUUAAACUAAGCUAGUCCAC